UACGGAGGGGGCUAGCGUUGUUCGGAAUUACUGGGCGUAAAGCGCACGUAGGCGCUUUGUAAGUUAGAGGUGAAAGCCCGGGGCUCAACUCCGGAAUUGCCUUAAGACUGCAUCGCUAGAAUUGUGGAGAGGUAAGUGGAAUUCCGAGUGUAGAGGUGAAAUUCGUAGAUAUUCGGAAGAACACCAGUGGCGAAGGCGACUUACUGGACACAUACUUGACGCUGAGG
rnacentral:rRNA from 1 species